rnacentral:lncRNA from 1 species
CCCGCCAGCCCGGCCUCCCGGGACCCGGCACCUCUAGCCAGGGACGCGCGCUCGGUCCCCCGCCGUGCGCCCCCGGUCCCGCGCCCAGGCUCCCGCCCCUGGCCUCCUUACCAGCCACUUGUCGCCCAGCUGCGAACUGGAGCGGGAGGCGGCGGCCGGAGGGCCCAGGACAGCCCCGGGAGGGCGGCGAGGCGGAGCAGGAGCGCCCCGGCUCCGGCCACAUUCUCAGAGUCAGGAAAAGGGGCGAGAGGCCACAUGUCUCCCUCUCGCCCAACUGAAAACGAAACGGCGCUCCAGCAGAUUGGGUGGAAAGAGCUGGGUCUCUUUUCUCUGUUUUUCACGCUAGAAAGGGCUUGUAAACAUUGUUCCUUUUAAAAUGACCUACCCCAGGCAUUUGUUUGGGCACACUUCUGUCCUGGGGUCAUCGUUCCUAGGUGGCUUCGGACCUGGGACUUUUCCUGUAUCUGCACAUUGUCGUUUUAUACACAAUUGCCAAGGUGGGACUGCUUUCAACUUUACUGUGCUUGAAGCUGCAAAGCGGAUCCUGUUACAGUGCAAAGAAGAAAUGGCAAACGGAUAACAGCUACUGUGCCUAGAAGAUGGUUCUGCCCUGAUGUUUCCUGGAAUAAUGCUGAGGACUGCCUUUCGGGUAGCCGCCCUAUUCAGUUCACUUCAUCUCGGAAAUACCUGACCCCUGCCUUGGAUCCAGCGGCCCUCCUGAGAGCUGAGGAAGGAGGAAAUCCUAUGUGUCUGCUCCCGGAGCUGCCACAACCCAUCUUCCCACAACUCGGAACUUGGAAAAAGGAACCCAGGACACGACUUUGCUUUUCUUUUGGACCUAGUUGAUACAAGUUAACAGGAUAUGCUUCUGGCCUGUUUCUGGAUUCUAAGGGUAGAACCAGCAUAAAACUAGUCAGUCCAAGUAUUUCUAAAGAUCCACAGACACAGUUCUCCUGGAUUUGGGAAGCCUAGAGAUAUUAGCACAAUAAUUAAGGCCCAAGUGAGUAUAAAAUUUUAUCUGAAAUUGAAGAGAUAUUGAUUAGAUAAUCCACAGAGACUACUUUUUAGUGAUUAUCUUCCACCAGGGUAAAAGCAACAGCAGCCUGAAAAUGCAAAAGACCAUACAUUUUAAUGGUAAGUCCUCCCCAGGAAGGAUUAAUAAAUCUCAGGAGGAAGAUUUAUUAUCUGUAAAUCCAGGAGGAAGAAAUCAAGAUGAAAACUAUCAUAUUUAUAAAUUUGAUUGUUGCAAUUUUAUAGUUUGACAUAGUGCAAUUGCUUUAGAUUUGAAGGGGAACUUACUUUAGAGUAAGUCACUCAAUCUCUUUUUUGGAAAGGCAAAUGCCACACCUGAUCCUCAUCACUCCCUUCUCCUUUGUCCAUAGCCUGGCUUUAUUCUGCCAUUAACACACACACACACACACACACACACACACACACAAAUUGGGAAGAGGAUUUCUCAUUUUACAGAAAGUAUGCUGGGCUACACAGGAUAUUCUAUCAGGUUUCUUCCAGCUAUAAAAUUCUGAGACUAAAUAUCAAAUUAAAGAAAGUACUAAUUGUCAGCGAUGGGGGAUGUACUGCUAUUUGCUUCUAGUGGUACUCACUGCUCAUUUCCUAUAUUCACUGGUAUAAAAAAAUUUCAAACACCCUCAAAAAAGCCUAUACUGGUGGUACCAGGAAAACGCUGAAAAUCAUUACUUUCUGUGUGGUGUCCAGCUCUUUUGGUUACAUCAUCACUUCGACCAUUCACUUUUAAAGAAAAACUUUUGUGGAACAAAAAUAUAAAGAUUUAUUUUUUUUCUUGGUGGCUUAGCACAGUGGCCUAAUGUGGCUGACCAUGUGCACCUGUUGUGUGAGUCACUUAGACGUGCUUUGUUUCUUGGUCACAGUUGAUCCCUCAACUCAAGCAUCUCACCCUCAAAAUGUUUGUUUGGGACCCAAGAGGCAAACCUUGAGAUGGGUUAUUUCUUUCACCUUGGAUUGGCUCAUCUGCUGGGAGUGGAGCCAAGCUGACAUUUCCUUUCCUUUUUGUCUGCCUAUCACUACGUAGAGGCAGCACAUAAGAGAGGGAAAGCCAUGCGCGUGGAGUCCAGCACAUCACCCAGAAGGCAGAUGUUCUAUCUCCAUUUUACUCAUUAAAACAAACAAAACCACACCUGGAUUGCCUGGUACUUAAAUAAAAUGCACUAUGAUGAUUGAAGAAAAAUAUCUUAUAUUUAAGGAAUAGUUUUAAUAGCUUACAUCUGUAUUUCUAUUAGCUUCCGUUUCUAUUUUUAAUAUUUGUAUAAUAUUAAAAGUAAUUUUAAAAAUGAACUAAUCUUUUUACAUCUCUUAUGAGAAUUUAAUGGAGAUAUGAUGUUUGAAGAUCAAAGAUACGUGGUAUUUGAAAUCAGAAAAUGUGUUUGCUUUUCUACACAGAUUACAAAUAUCAUGCAUUAUUUCACAAACUCUUCUCAAAGUGUUGAUUUUAAAAUUAGUAAAAGGAGGGUAUAUUCAUAUCACAUCCUGGCAUUUUUAUAGGCAAGAUUGAGCAGCUAUAACCUCUAAAGUGCUUUGAUCCCUAUAAGCCUCAAGAAGAGAAUGGUGCAAUUUGAAUUAAUAACUACCCAUUAUAGAGCAUUUGUAUCACAGUAUUUUCCAAAUACUAUCUUAUUUAACCCUACAGCAAUCCUAUGAUAUGGGGAUUAUGUACACAUUACAGAUGAGAACUUGAGGCUCGGAGAAAGUAAAUAACUUACACAAGAUCACAAAGCAAGUGACUGCCAGAGCCAGGAUCAGAACCCAGUCAGGCUUCAUUAGGAGCUCUGCUGAACUCUGUCUAGAGAAUUCUCACCACCUGCUGCAAAGGCUAAAAGAAAGGGUCAUAUUCCACAUGUAGAUUUUGAGAAAUAUUUGUUAUUUUUCUUAUGAUAAAGGUUAUGCAUACACACUCACACACACACACACACACACACAACUAGAAAUUACAGAAAAGAAAAAAGAUUAGCCAGAAUGUCACCACCUAAAGACAGAUAAUAUUUUGGUGUUUUCAAAUAUUCUUUUAUCUAUACUUUUUUGAAUUAUUUUAUUUUAAAAAUAACUUUUACUGGUU